rnacentral:rRNA from 1 species
GACGAACGCUGGCGGCGUGCUUAACACAUGCAAGUCGAACGGAAAGGCCUGCUUUCCCUUGUGGUAUGCGGGUACUCGAGUGGCGAACGGGGGAGUAACACGUGAGUGACCUGCUCCCAACUUAGGUAUAAGCCAGGGAAACUGGGUCACAUCAUCGAUAGUACUGCAGGGUGGUGCCUGUGUUGGAAACCUGUUCUCUAGUGGGAGGCGAUGAGGUGGCGGCCUAUCAGCUUGGUGGUGGGGUAAAGGCCGACCAAGGCGGGGAGGGGUAGCCGGCGUGAGAGGGUGGACAGCGACACUGAGACAGAGACACGGCUCAGACUGGUGCGGGAGGCAGCGGAUGGGAGUAUAGGAGCAUGGGCGGAAUCCUGACGCAGCGAGGCCGUGUGGAGGAUGACGGCCUUGUAGUGGUAAACUGUUGGGGACGAAGAGGAAGCCACCUGGUUGGAAGGGUGGUGACGGUAGUGGUAGAAGAAGCACCGGCUAACUACGUG